rnacentral:rRNA from 1 species
AACGCGAAGAACCUUACCAGGUCUUGACAUCCUCUUGAAUACAUUAGAGAUAGUGUAGGCUUUCGGGACAAGAGAGACAGGUGGUGCAUGGUUGUCGUCAGCUCGUGUCGUGAGAUGUUGGGUUAAGUCCCGCAACGAGCGCAACCCUUGAUCUUAGUUGCCAGCAUUAAGUUGGGCACUCUAGGAUGACUGCCGGUGACAAACCGGAGGAAGGUGGGGAUGACGUCAAAUCAUCAUGCCCCUUAUGACCUGGGCUACACACGUACUACAAUGGCCGGUACAACGGGAAGCGAGACCGCGAGGUGGAGCGAAUCCUAAAAAGCCGGUCUCAGUUCGGAUUGCAGGCUGCAACUCGCCUGCAUGAAGUCGGAAUUGCUAGUAAUCGCGGAUCAGCAUGCCGCGGUGAAUACGUUCCCGGGCCUUGUACACACCGAUACUC